UACGUAGGGUGCGAGCGUUAAUCGGAAUUACUGGGCGUAAAGUGUGCGCAGGCGGCAGAGCAAGUCGAGUGUGAAAGCCCCGGGCUUAACUUGGGAAUUGCGCUCGAAACUACUUUGCUGGAGUGUGGCAGAGGAAGGUGGAAUUCCACGUGUAGCGGUGAAAUGCGUAGAUAUCAUUUGGAACGCCAAUGGUGAAAACAGGUAGCUGGGAGUGUGCUGACGCUGAGACACGAAAGCCAGGGGAGCGAACGGG
rnacentral:rRNA from 1 species